rnacentral:misc_RNA from 1 species
AACGCACAUUGCGCCCCAUGGUAUUCCGUGGGGCAUGCCUGUUCGAGCGUCAUUUACCCCCUCAAGCUCCGCUUGGUGUUGGGCGUCUGUCCCGCUUCGCGCGCGGACUCGCCCCAAAGGUAUUGGCAGCGGUCGUGCCAGCUUCUCGCGCAGCACAUUGCGCUUCUCGAGGCACCGGCGGGCCCGCGUCCAUCAAGCUCCACCCCCCAGUUUGACCUCGGAUCAGGUAGGGAUACCCGCUGAACUUAA